rnacentral:lncRNA from 1 species
CUUGUUUUGUUUGAUCUGCUGAAAGUGUAUAAUUUGCUUUUGGCUUGUACAUGUUUCCAUUGCUAUGACUUUUUAGCUCCAANUCUUUUCGUCUACAGUACAAACCUAUAUCCAUUCGUGCCUUUUCGUUGUCUUUUGUCUUCCCCGCAACAUUCAUCACAGUAUUGAAGAUGUUGUCAAAGAAAUUUUUUUCAAUGUGCAUGAAAUCAAGAUUANGCCUUAACAAAUUAUCCUUCCAAUAGGGUAGAUCCCAAAAGAUGCUUCUUUUCGUCCAAUUAUGCCACUCACCGUAUC